AGCGAGCGCUGGAGGCAGGCCUAACACAUGCAAGUCGAACGAACUCUUCGGAGUUAGUGGCGGACGGGUGAGUAACACGUGGGAACGUGCCUUUUGGUUCGGAAUAACUCAGGGAAACUUGUGCUAAUACCGAAUGUGCCCUUCGGGGGAAAGAUUUAUCGCCAUUAGAGCGGCCCGCGUCUGAUUAGCUAGUUGGUGAGGUAACGGCUCACCAAGGCGACGAUCAGUAGCUGGUCUGAGAGGAUGACCAGCCACACUGGGACUGAGACACGGCCCAGACUCCUACGGGAGGCAGCAGUGGGGAAUCUUGCGCAAUGGGCGAAAGCCUGACGCAGCCAUGCCGCGUGAAUGAUGAAGGUCUUAGGAUUGUAAAAUUCUUUCACCGGGGACGAUAAUGACGGUACCCGGAGAAGAAGCCCCGGCUAACUUCGUG
rnacentral:rRNA from 1 species